AUCAAUAAAUGAUAAGGAUAUGAAUUAAUGUUUGUUUUGAAAGCUGACAGAAUGGUAUAAAAUGGGAAGGCGAGAAAGAUGUUCUUCACCACUUGAUUAGAGUGCUUGAACUAUAGUGAUCAACUUCUAGAGAUAGAAAAGAAAAUGAAGGUUUACAUUGUUCUACUUGUCCUCAGCGUCGUUGCUGUUGCUUUAGCUGAUCAUCCAGCAUGCAAAAAACAACGAAAACAGGCACUACAAUCAAAGGAUCCCUAUGUUCCUAAUUGCUAUUCCAAUGGUGAAUAUAAACCGGAGCAGUGCAAGAAGAACGACGGCGGAACAUUGUUCUGCUUCUGUGUGAGCAAAGCAGGGCAACCUCAAGGUGCACCCAAGGUAGGACACCGAAGUGACUGCAAAUAGAUGUCAUGCUUCACCAGAAAGAAAUCAUCGAAAUAAACUUUGAUUUUCUAAAACAAA